rnacentral:lncRNA from 1 species
CCCUUGAUAUCCAUAAUAGUGUAGAAAAUAUUAUCGAAUACAUUCUUCUUGAUAUGCAUGAUGUCAAAAUUAUGAUGGAUCAAAUUGGUGGAUUAGUAUGGCAAUUUUCAGAAGAUGCUUCACUUCAUCCAGUUAUGAGUUCUACCAAACCUCUAAGGCUUCUGCCUGUCAAAUAGCAUGCCAAAUUGAACUUCGUCCAGUUGGGAUACCCUUUGAAAUACUUGUAUACCACUG